rnacentral:rRNA from 1 species
GACGAACGCUGGCGGCGUGCUUAACACAUGCAAGUCGAACGGAAAGGCCCUGCUUUUGUGGGGUGCUCGAGUGGCGAACGGGUGAGUAACACGUGAGUAACCUGCCCUUGACUUUGGGAUAACUUCAGGAAACUGGGGCUAAUACCGGAUAGGAGCUCCUGCUGCAUGGUGGGGGUUGGAAAGUUUCGGCGGUUGGGGAUGGACUCGCGGCUUAUCAGCUUGUUGGUGGGGUAGUGGCUUACCAAGGCUUUGACGGGUAGCCGGCCUGAGAGGGUGACCGGCCACAUGGGGACGGAGAUACGGCCCAGACUCCUACGGGAGGCAGCAGUGGGGAAUAUUGCACAAUGGGCGGAAGCCUGAUGCAGCAACGCCGCGUGCGGGAUGACGGCCUUCGGGUUGUAAACCGCUUUCGCCUGUGACGAAGCGUGAGGGACGGUAAUGGGUAAAGAAGCACCGGCUAACUACGU